AUGAACGCUGGCGGCGUGCCUAAUACAUGCAAGUCGAGCGAACGGACGAGAAGCUUGCUUUUCUGAUGUUAGCGGCGGACGGGUGAGUAACACGUGGAUAACCUACCUAUAAGACUGGGAUAACUUCGGGAAACCGGAGCUAAUACCGGAUAAUAUUUUGAACCGCAUGGUUCAAAAGUGAAAGACGGUCUUGCUGUCACUUAUAGAUGGAUCCGCGCUGCAUUAGCUAGUUGGUAAGGUAACGGCUUACCAAGGCAACGAUGCAUAGCCGACCUGAGAGGGUGAUCGGCCACACUGGAACUGAGACACGGUCCAGACUCCUACGGGAGGCAGCAGUAGGGAAUCUUCCGCAAUGGGCGAAAGCCUGACGGAGCAACGCCGCGUGAGUGAUGAAGGUCUUCGGAUCGUAAAACCCUGUUAUUAGGGAAGAACAUAUGUGUAAGUAACUGUGCACAUCUUGACGGUACCUAAUCAGAAAGCCACGGCUAACUACGUG
rnacentral:rRNA from 1 species